GUCUUUCUAAACUAGACAAACUUAGUCAUGAGAAACAGCAGAGGUUGAAGAAAUUCUAGAGCCUGAGUAUGACAAUCUCCCAUCCUUGCAAGAGUCUGAAGGCUAGUAUUCUAAGCACAACCAGGUGGUGAUCACAUGACCACUGGAAAGAAACCAAGUAGACAAGAAACAGAUUUCCUGUGUAAAAAAAUCCAAGAAAAUAAUACUGAAGAAAUCAAAGAUUAUAAAAACAAAUUAUUUUCUCUGGUUCCUGUUUAUGGCUUCUUACUCCAGUCUGGUUCCCUACUGCUCCUCUCGGGGAAUAACUUCAGGUAA
rnacentral:lncRNA from 1 species